GCACUGCCUUUGAGUCCCCGCUGCGCCUGCGUGUGUCGCGGGGGGGGGGGGGGGGGGAUGCCGGGGGGUCAGGCUGCAGCGCCAGAGCAGUUGCUUGCGCACAACUGGAGCCCACGACCCUUUUAACCACAAGUGACACGG